UUUCCGUAGGUGAACCUGCGGAAGGAGCAUUAUUGUAUAACCGAGGUGCGAGGGCUGUCGCUGACCCGAAAGUUCGUGCACGCCCGAGUACCCUCACACACAUCCAUCUCACCCCUAUGUGCACCACCGCGUGGGUCCCCCUUUGGCUUGUUCGGAGGGGGGCUUACGUUUUCACACAGACUUUGUAUGCAGUGUAGAAUGUAUGUUUUGUUUUUGCGAUCACGCAAUCAAUACAACUUUCAACAACGGAUCUCUUGGCUCUC
rnacentral:misc_RNA from 1 species